CGACAAAGCAUCUCUGCCAGCUCGUGCCCUGUGAGCCUCGGUGUGGUGCAGGCGGUUCCACCCGCGUCGCUAUACAAAAUUCGCGCCUAUCCAAACUGGCCAUGCAAGAUUCGUACGUGAAACGGAGGAGGACGGAGCCGGUUCUGUUGCACCUCACUCGCAAGCGGCUUCACAAAUUCUCCGCGUAACCCGCUUUUCCAAAGGUACACACUUCACUUUCGCUGUGCCUCACGAACAUGUGGAGGUACGCGGUCCUGGCCACCGUGUUGUUGGUGAGCAUCAUCAACGGGUCGCAGCAAGAGUAUGAGAUCGGAGUGGGCAUCGCGGACAUCACUGGACCUGCCGCUGAGAUCGGAAUGUUGGGGUACGGUAAGGCCGGCCAGCUGACGUCCGGCAUCCACAUACGAGUCUACAGCCGAGCUUUCAUAAUCAGCGACAAGAAAUCUCGGGUUGCCAUCGUUAAUGUCGACUCGGGGAUGAUAUCGGACGCGGUGAAAACACAAGUAGUCGAACACCUACAAGAUAAGUAUGGUAAGCACCUGUACGGAGAAGACAACGUCCUGGUGACAGCCACGCACACCCAUUCGUCUGCGGGAGGAUUUAUGCAGUAUCUGCUGUACAAUAUUCAGAACCAGGGAUAUAUCAAAGAAGUGGCUGAUGUCCAAACCAGUGGCAUUAUCAAAAGCAUAGAUCAGGCUCAUAACAAUAUGAAAAGGGGUUACAUCUAUUGGAAUGAAGGGGACGUUCUCCAUGCUAACAUCAACAGAAGCCCAUCCGCGUACGAGGCGAAUCCCAAAGAAGAAAGGGAUCUGUACAACAAGAACACCGACACACGGAUGUUCCUGUUGAAGUUCACCGACGUCCACGGAAACUCCAUUGGCAUGAUCAAUUGGUUUGCCGUACAUCCUACGAGUAUGAACAACACCAACCAACUGAUCAGCGGGGACAACAAAGGGUACGCACAGUUAAAAUUCGAACAAGCCAUGAACGGAAAAGCGCUUCUGGGAAAGGGUCCGUUUAUUGCCGCAUUCGCGCAAGCGAACGAAGGCGAUGUUUCGCCUAACCUGGAAGGACCUCGUUGCAUUGAUACGGGUCUACCGUGCGACUUCGAAACGUCGACUUGCAAUGGGAGGAAUUACAAGUGCAUUGCCUUUGGCCCAGGAAAGGACAUGUUUGAAAGUACAAAGGUUCUUGGAGAACGUCAGUUCCAAAAAGCUAUGGAUCUUUUCAACUCUGCGAGCCAAAAAUUGUCAGGGCCUGUAGCGUUCGCCUACCAGACCGUUGACAUGGGACGAUACGAAGUAGACGACAAUGAGGCAGAGCCAGCGACCACGUGCAAAGCCGCCCUUGGGUACAGCUUUGCUGCGGGCACGACAGACGGACCUGGAGAGUUCGACUUCACUCAAUCCACAACCGAGGCUACCGUCUUCUGGAACUUCUUGCGAGAUUUCAUCCAAAGGCCUUCCAAAAAGCUCAACAAAUGUCAGUACCCGAAGCCUGUUCUCCUUCCUGUUGGAGAGAUGCGGUUCCCAUCACAAUGGGUAGCUUCUGUCGUCCCGACACAGCUGCUGAAGAUUGGGCAGGCUUACAUUAUAGGUGCACCUGGAGAAUUCACGACAAUGGCAGGACGACGAAUUAUGGCUGCCGUCAGAAAGGUUGUGAGUGAAAAGGACAAAGAUGCCUUAAUCGCGUUUGCCGGCCUGUCCAACACGUACACGCAUUACGUCACCACGUUCGAAGAAUAUCAAGUCCAGCGGUAUGAAGGCGCAUCGACACUUUACGGGCCCCACACUUUGGCUGCUUACAAAAAGCAAUUUGAACUGCUAGCGCGAUGUAUCACAGAGUCGAAGCCUUCACCUCCUGCGGUUCCUUUGCCAAAUCUCAUUUCAAGGCAGAUUUCAUUCAAGACGCCCGUGGUCUUUGAUGGAGUCCCGAUCAGGAAACAUUUUGGGCAGGUUGUGGCGGACGCAAAAGGAUCGUACUGUAGGGGAGAAACUGUGUCUGUAACAUUUAUCUCUGGGCAUCCACGAAAUGACCUAAUGGUACGACGCUUGCAGAGUUGGAUGGUACAUACCUGACUGUAGAGAAGCUACGAGACGACGGAGAUACGUGGGAGGUCAUUGCCACAGAUGCCAAUUGGGAGACAAGAUUCUACUGGAAACGGACGUCAACGUUAUGGGGCCACAGUCAAGUAACAGUGACGUGGGACAUUCCUAAAGAUGCAGAGCCAGGGCUGUACAGAAUUCGUCACUUCGGACACAGCAAGAAUUUGCUGCAACUCAUCAUGCCAUAUGAGGGCACCAGCGGUCGUUUUAGGAUAGAAAGCUAGGUGUAUAAUACAACUUCGUGCCCAAUG